CUCGCACAGCCACACACCAACCCAAACAGCGAUCAUCCACUUCCUCAGGUAUAGCGCUCAGCCGCAAGCGACUUGUCGAUCAGAGUUCGAGUGUGCAGAAAAGUGAAGAUGCCAGGCCCCGGUCUUCUGCCUGAUGGCUGGUUCCGUGAAGAGAGCACCAUGUGGCCCGGCCAGGCACAGGGGCUGAAGGUGGAGAAGGUUCUGUAUGACCAACCCACCGAGUUCCAGCACUUGACGGUGUUCGAGUCCGACCCGAGCGGGCCGUGGGGAACCGUCAUGACCCUCGACGGUGCCAUCCAGCUUACGGACUACGACGAGUUUGUGUACCAUGAGAUGCUUGCGAACCUGUCGCUGACGUGCCAUCACAAGCCGGAACGCGUGCUUAUCAUUGGCGGCGGUGAUGGCGGUGUCGUGCGCGAGGUGCUGCGCCACAAGAGCGAGAAAGACGGCAUUGUGCAGUCCGUCGAGCUCGUUGACAUUGACGGCGCCGUGAUUCAGCAGAGCAAGAAGCACUUCCCACAGAUCGCUUGCGGCUUCGCGAACCCGUGCGUGACGGCGACCGUUGGCGACGGUGCCGCCUUCGUAAAGAGAGCGCCGGAUAGCGUGUAUGAUGUCAUCAUCAUCGACACGACGGACCCGAAGGGGCCGGCGUCGGAGCUGUUCGGCGCGGACUUCUACACGAAUGUGCUCCGCAUUCUGCGGCCGGGCGGCGUCGUGUGCAACCAGGGCGAGUCUGUCUGGCUGCACCGCCCGUUGAUAGAGAUGAUGAUGGGAUUCCUGAAGAAGGAUAUCGGCUUUGCCACGGUCAAGUACGCAAUGAUCUACAUCCCGACCUACCCAUGCGGCAGCAUCGGCACGCUGGUCUGCGCCAAGUCGGCAGACACGGACGUGACGGUGCCCAUGAGGCCGGUGGAGUCGCUCGGGUUCGCCGACCAGCUCAAGUAUUACAGCAGCGACAUGCACAAGGCGGCCUUCGUGCUGCCGCGCUUCGCGGCUCACCUGAACGAGUAGAGAAGGAGGGGAGGACCAAAAGGGAGGAGCCUCUGGCUCGGAGGGGGACGCGCGGGCGUACAUGAAGCGUUAAAAGGCUCAAUGUCGGUGCGCUGCGCACUAGCCCGCCGACUGCGACAGUUGCAGGCCGCUCUCUGUACCACCGUUGCGCAGUCCAUCACUCGGGCCAUCAGCCGCAGCGUCCUCACCCCUUCCUGCCUCUCCCUUGACCCCCCACGCCAUCCCUUCUUUUCCGCACGUUAACUAUGCUUUCGUCGUUUUAAUCGCCCCUGUUUGUGUAUCGGUCCAUCUACCGGCCUGCCUCUGUGUGUGCGCGUGCGUGCGUGCAUGGGACGCGUUGCUUGCACGGGAUGCGGGGAGUGCAUGGCUGCGAAAAAAAAAAGGCGGAGGAGGAGGCCACGCACCGACGCGCACCUACACCGUACACGACUGCACCCCCGCCCCACCUUUCUUUGGGAAGAGGGGGGCUGUUUCCUGUUUUCUAUCGUUUCGCUUCAGUCGCACCCCACAAGGCAUUGCUCGCCGUGUCGCCUGCGUUGUGUUGUGCGUUGUAGGCGGCGAUGCGUGCGUGGGUGCACGUUGACCACUGCCACUCUCGCCCCGGCCCCCUUCAUAGCAGAGGAACUGUAAGAUGUUGAUCGCAUCGU
rnacentral:misc_RNA from 1 species